rnacentral:misc_RNA from 1 species
CUUUCGUCCUCUGGUCUGCUUGAGCCUUGACUUGCAUAGACUUUUCGCUUCUCUUGCCAAAAUGGAAACUCUCGUAAUUCACUUUCCCUUUAUUUCCUUCCUUCUUCAACCACUCACUUCCUUUUCGGAUUCUAACUAGUAAUUUAGUUAUUACAUCUCUGUUGUCUGUUUCAAUUCUCUUCCAACUUUCCAGGAAAGUGUAUAUAUUGAACCAUGGAUCACAUAUGAAGUAUAAUUAAGAGAGUGAAGGUGGAUUAUUUUUAGUUAUUUGUUUUUUAUUGUUGUGGCUAUUUUGCUGAUCCAAGAAUGGUAAGAAGAAGAAUGGGGAGAGCUAGUUUCAAUAUUGAAGAGGUUGUGGAAUUUUUUAAUCAUCUCUACGUGGAGAAGCCUCUUUUACCCUUUUUUAUACCUCUGGUUUUGGUUUGCUGGGGCAUUGAGAGAUGGGUUUUCUCUCUCUCCAGUUGGUUCCCUAUUGUUCUAGCUGUUUGGGCAACUAUUCAGUAUUGCAGUUAUCAACGUCAAAUACUUGUCGAAGACUUGAACAGAAAGUGGAAGCGAGUUGUGUUGAAUACCUCGCCAGCAACACCACUGGAACACUGUGAGUGGCUGAACAAACUGCUAAUUGAAGUUUGGCCCAACUACAUAAACCCAAAACUUUCAAUAAGGUUUUCAUCCAUGGUUGAGAAACGUCUAAAGCAGCGUAAAUCAAAGUUUAUAGAAAGAAUUGAAUUACAGGAGUUUUCACUAGGUUCAUCCCCACCUUCCUUGGGUCUCGAUGGAAUUCGUUGGUCAACUUUAGGUGAUCAGCGGUUUAUGCAUGUUGGUUUUGAUUGGGACACGAAUGACAUAAGCAUUAUGCUCCUGGCUAAGCUGGCCAAGCCAAUGGGAACUGCUCGGAUUGUUAUUAACAGCCUCCAUAUCAAGGGUGAUCUUCUCAUAGUGCCUGCUUUGGAUGGGAAAGCAAUUUUAUACUCGUUUGUUUCAACUCCAGAAGUAAGAAUAGGAGUUGCCUUUGGAAGCGGUGGAAGCCAGUCGCUACCUGCCACAGAACUGCCUGGUGUAUCUUCUUGGCUGGUCAAAAUUCUUACUGAGACCUUAGUUAAGACAAUGGUUGAACCUCGGCGCCGUUGUUACUCUUUACCAGCAGUAGAUUUAUGGAAAAAGGCUGUUGGUGGAGUUAUUCAUGUGACAGUCGUUUCUGCUAGUAAAAUUUCUAAGAGUAGCUUGAGAGGAAGCCGAAGGCAACAAAAUUAUUCUGCGCACGGUAGUUUAGAAGAGCAUUUUGAUGAUAAAGAUUUGCAAACUUUUGUGGAGGUUGAACUUGAACAGUUAACAAGGAGAACAGAUGUGAGAUCAGGCUCAAAUCCAAUAUGGGAUUCAACAUUUAAUAUGGUUUUACAUGAAGAAACUGGAAUUCUUCGAUUUCAUCUUUACAAUUGUAACCCCAACAGUGUGAAGUUAGACUAUCUAGCAAGUUGCGAGAUAAAGAUGAAGUAUGUUGCGGAUGAUUCAACAAUGUUUUGGGCUGUAGGACCCAACUCAGGGGUAAUUGCUGAGCAUGUUGAGUUUUGUGGAGAAGAAGUAGAGAUGGCUGUUCCAUUUGAGGGGCUUAAUUCAGGGGAGUUGACAGUCAAGCUUGUGUUGAAAGAAUGGCAAUUCUCUAAUGGUUCGCGUAGCUUCAACAAGUUCCAUGUUAGCUCUUGGCAGUCAAUGGAUGGAUUAUCAAAUACUAUUUCAAGAACAGGAAGAAAGAUUAAUGUAAUUGUCGUGGAGGGAAAGGAUCUUACCACAAAAGAAAGAUCUGGAAAGUGUGGCCCAUAUGUUAAACUGCAGUAUGGGAAGGUUUUCCAUAGAACAAGGAGUGCUUAUGCUCCUAAUCCUAUCUGGAAUCAGAAGUUUGAAGUUGAUGAGAUUGGAGGAGGUGAAUACCUUAAGAUUAAAUGCUUUAGUGAAGAAAUCUUUGGAGAUGAUAACAUUGGUAGUGCACAAGUAAAUAUGGAAGGACUGGUUGAGGGUUCAAUCAGGGAUGUGUGGGUUCCGCUUGAAAAUGUGAAUUCAGGAGAAUUGAGGCUUCAAAUAGAAGCAGUGAGAGCUGAUGGUUGUGAUGGCUCAAAGGGUUCCACUGCAGGCUCAGACAACGGUUGGAUUGAACUUGUUCUUAUUGAAGCUAGGGACCUUGUAGCUGCUGAUCUCAGAGGGACAAGUGAUCCAUAUGUGAGGGUGCAAUAUGGGAACUUGAAGAAAAGAACAAAGGUUACUUACAAAACAUUAAAUCCUCAGUGGAAUCAGACCUUAGAUUUCCCUGAUGAUGGCAGCCCCUUAGAGUUGCAUGUGAAAGACCACAAUGCUCUGCUGCCUACAUCAAGCAUAGGCAACUGUGUGGUUGAAUAUCAGAGAUUGCCAACAAAUCAGAUGUCUGACAAGUGGAUACCGCUCCAAGGAGUGAAAAGGGGAGAGAUCCAUAUUCAGAUUACUAGGAAAGUUCCAGAAGUACAGAAGAGACCCAGUCUGGAUUCUGAAGCAUCUGUAAUAAAAUCUCACGAGUUUUCUAGCCAGAUGAGAGAGAUGGUGAAGAAAUUUCAAUCUUUGAUUGAGGACCGCAAUCUUGAAGGACUUUCAACAGCUUUGAGUGAGAUGGAAGGGUUAGAGGAUUCGCAAGAAGACUACAUGGUACAGCUUGAGACUGAGCAAAUGCUUCUACUGAACAAAAUAAAGGAGCUUGGUGAGGAAAUGUUUAACUCAUCAACUUCCAUGACCAGAAGACCUUCUGUAAGUUGAAAUAUGUUGCCAUUUUAAGCUUGUUUGUUACUAUUAUCCUUUUCAAGCAUUAUCUUGUACAAAGACCUCAUACUUUAAAUAUGUACACGAAUCUCCCAAUCUGUAGCCCAUGUUUUAGUCACCUUCAUGUUGUAUAAUUUGUUAAUGGCUCAUAACUCUUUCGGUAAUAGAUGAAGAAAUUAGCCUUCGUGUCUUAAGAUACUCAGCCUAUUUCUGUUGUUUUUAACUUUAGUUUAUAUAAUGAGUAAAUGUCACACGCAAUUACUCAACUUUAUUAGUGUUUUCAUAAAAGUUAUUGAAUUAUAAUUUCUUUCAUAAAACACACUGAAUUUCAAUUUGAUUUCAUAAAAGCCAUUGUGAUUAAAAACUAAAGGUUUUCAGGUUAAUUUACUGACUUAUAAAUUAUUUUACAAAUAAAAUGACAUUGUUUUAUUAGUUAAAAAAAAAAAAGAAAAUAGGAUGAAUAAAAUACAUCCCUCUAUCUCCCUCACCGUCAAAACCCUGCCUUUUUUCCAUUUCUUCCCCAUCAGUAACCAAUGGUUAGGUAAUUUUAUUUGUCAAAUAGUUGAUAAGUCAGUAGAUUAACCUUAAAACCCUUAAUUUUUAAUCACAGUAGCUUUUGUAAAAUCAAAUUGAAAUUCAAUGAUUUUUAUGAAAAAAAUUAAAGUUCAAUAACUUUUAUGAAAAAUUCAUAAAGUUGAGUGGUUGCGUGUGAUAAUUACCCAAAGAAUUAUGGAUGAAAAGGAAAAUUAAGCACUUUAUAGUCACUCAAAUAUUAACCAAAUUCAAUAAUGUUGGUGCCUUCACAAUGAAAUUCCCUACAAGGCAAUAAGGAUUUGGGUGGCUCAUUGUGAAGGCACCAAUAAGAAACAGGAAGGGUUGAGCAAAAAUGUUGUAAUAGUAACAGUAUGUUGGCAGCAGACAGCUUAACCUAAAAUGUGAAACCUAAGAGAAUCAACUAUCAAGACUAAAGUGGUACAGCUGAGCAACAUUAAUUCAGCUAUUCUUCAAUUGAAUGUAUAAAAGAAUCUUCAAAAGGGGCACAUCCAAAACAAAGUGAAAGGUCUAACAACAUGUGUGCAACCAAAACAAAAGAAAGUAUUAAGAAUAAAAAAGUUAAGAAUAAAAAAGAUUCUUGGAGCAGGAUUAUCAUGUAUGCUAAAAGAUGAUCCAGAAUAUAAAGAUGCUCCAGGCACUGUAUGAAUAUACCAUGAUUAUGAAGCGAAUUGAGAGAUAACAGCAAUCAUCUUGGCAUGACAAAAUUUCCAGAAGUGGUCAAAAUAUUCACAGAAAAGCCACAACAAUUAUACAGUCCACAAUGAAAAGUUUUUGAAUCUGUAACAAGGCAUUUUCUCAGUGCCAAAAGAAAGUACCUCAUUGCCUUUGUUCCCAUAACUAAUGGAAAUCUCUUUCUCACUUUGGAGGGGAGUUUGUUCAGCAGAAAGAAGGUACAUGGUGAAAGAAACUCCUGUUACCAAGCCAGUUCCAUCAACCUCCCAUGUUGCUGCCGCCUUUGUAUCAUGGUUGCAAAAAUCAAUGCCAGGAACAAGACCCUCUACCCAGAUAGUAUCCUUUUGAACUGAUGUGGAAAUUGCCUCAUUCACUUUGCUGUCAUCUCCAUGAAACUUAGAUCCUUUUUCAUCCUUUUCAUCGAUUAAGUCUCUGCCAGAAUUAUAUAAGAUCUGAGAGUUGUUAAUUGGAGAGUGACUGCCUUGAUCCUCUUGAACUUGUGGGAAUACAUAAGAACGUGGAAAGGGAAUGUUCAAAGCACGACUCCAAAAUACAGAAUUGGCCCAAAGGAAAUCUUCAAAACACACCUCCCUUUCUGAAUCCCCACUUAGAAUUAAAAGUUUCUGCACCAAAGCCUUUACUUUGUCAUCAUACAGAGACAGCAACUUUUUCUUCUGUAACAUAAAUCCGUCUUUGGUCACAUAUGCUGCAAGUCAGUUGCCCGAAACAAAGUUGUCCCCUUCAGGUCCAAUAGCUCCUCAUCAGUAAACCAAAGUGGGUUUCCAAAAGUGGUAGGAAGCAUAUCAAGGUACGGUUUCCAAGAAGAGUUCUUUCGAAGUCGCUCCAACGUUAGAAAUAAAAUUAUCAAGAACCUGUCAUCCACUUCUCCUUCUUCAAACAUAGCUCUACACUCGGGUCCAAUAAGAGGAUCUUGCAAAACUCUCAUGGGAGUUAUAGCUAAAUCCAAUGGAACAACAAGCAGAACGUCAUCAGAGACAUUAUUCGACGGAAAAAUACCAAAGCCUUUAUUUGGAUCACAGUUCUUGAUGCUGCAACCUCGCAACUCAACUUUAUUCGCAUCAAGCCACCGGAGGAAUCGUUCAAGUUUUGCUUCUUCUGAUCCCGCCAUUGUUGAGUUACUAGCUGAGUUGAUUGAAUUGUGUUGGUGCGUCUUUUUUUUUUAUAGAGCUACAAGUAGGGUUUAAAGACAG